rnacentral:rRNA from 1 species
ACGUAGGGUGCAAGCGUUAUCCGGAUUUAUUGGGCGUAAAGAGCUCGUAGGCGGUUUGUCACGUCUAGUGUGAAAGUCCAUCGCUUAACGGUGGAUCUGCGCUGGAUACGGGCAAGCUUGAGUGUGGUAGGGGAGACUGGAAUUCCCGGUGUAACGGUGGAAUGUGUAGAUAUCGGGAAGAACACCAAUGGCGAAGGCAGGUCUCUGGGCCAUUACUGACGCUGAGGAGCGAAAGCGUGGGGAGCGAACAGG